rnacentral:rRNA from 1 species
GAUCAUGGCUCAGGAUGAACGCUAGCUACAGGCUUAACACAUGCAAGUCGAGGGGCAGCAGGACCUAGCAAUAGGUUGAUGGCGACCGGCGCACGGGUGAGUAACACGUAUCCAACCUACCGGUUAUUCCGGGAUAGCCUUUCGAAAGAAAGAUUAAUACCGGAUAGUAUAACGAGAAGGCAUCUUCUUGUUAUUAAAGAAUUUCGAUAACCGAUGGGGAGUGCGUUCCAUUAGUUUGUUGGCGGGGUAACGGGCCCACCAAG